UUGAGUUGCACGCUCUAGACCCGAAGCGGAGUGAUCUAGCCAUGGGCAGGUUGAAGCGGCUGUAAGAGGUCGUGGAGGACCGAACCCACCAGGGUUGAAAACCUGGGGGAUGACCUGUGGUUAGGGGUGAAAGGCCAAUCAAACUCCGUGAUAGCUGGUUCUCCCCGAAAUGCAUUUAGGUGCAGCGUCGUGUGUUUCUUGCCGGAGGUAGAGCACUGGAUAGGCGAUGGGCCCUACCGGGUUACUGACCUUAGCCAAACUCCGAAUGCCGGUAAGUGAGAGCGCGGCAGUGAGACUGUGGGGGAUAAGCUCCAUGGUCGAGAGGGAAACAGCCCAGAGCAUCGACUAAGGCCCCUAAGCGUACGCUAAGUGGGAAAGGAUGUGGAGUCGCAGAGACAACCAGGAGGUUGGCUUAGAAGCAGCCACCCUUGAAAGAGUGCGUAAUAGCUCACUGGUCUAGUGAUUCCGCGCCGACAAUGUAGCGGGGCUCAAGCGUACCGCCGAAGUCGUGUCAUUGCAGCAUGAGGGCCAACGCCCGCUGUGAUGGGUAGGGGAGCGUCGUGUGCCGGGUGAAGCAGCCGUGGAAGCGAGUUGUGGACGGUUCACGAGUGAGAAUAAUGGCAUGAGUAGCGAUUCACACGUGAGAAACGUGUGCGCCGAUUGACUAAGGGUUCCUGGGUCAAGCUGAUCUGCCCAGGGUAAGUCGGGACCUAAGGCGAGGCCGACAGGCGUAGUCGAUGGAUAACCGGUUGAUAUUCCGGUACCCGCUGUGAAGCGUCAAACAUUGAAUCCAGUGAUGCUAAGCCCGUGAAGCCGUUCCGGACCCUUCGGGGAAUGGAAAGUGGUGGAGCCGGUGGCCCGAGCUGGUAGUAGGUGAGUGAUGGGGUGACGCAGGAAGGUAGUCCAUCCCGGGCGGUGGUUGUCCCGGGGUAAGGGUGUAGGACGUCAGGUAGGUAAAUCCGCCUGGCAAUAGUCUGAGACCUGAUGCCGAGCCGAUUGUGGUGAAGUGGAUGAUCCUAUGCUGUCGAGAAAAGCCUCUAGCGAGUUUCAUGGCGGCCCGUACCCUAAACCGACUCAGGUGGUCAGGUAGAGAAUACCGAGGCGUUCGGGUGAACUAUGGUUAAGGAACUCGGCAAAAUGCCCCCGUAACUUCGGGAGAAGGGGGGCCAUGUCUGGUGAUGAGUCUUGCACUCUGAGCUGGGUGUGGCCGCAGAGACCAGCGAGAAGCGACUGUUUACUAAAAACACAGGUCCGUGCGAAGCCGUAAGGCGAUGUAUACGGACUGACGCCUGCCCGGUGCUGGAACGUUAAGGGGACCGGUUAGUCACAUUUCGGUGUGGCGAAGCUGAGAACUUAAGCGCCAGUAAACGGCGGUGGUAACUAUAACCAUCCUAAGGUAGCGAAAUUCCUUGUCGGGUAAGUUCCGACCUGCACGAAUGGCGUAACGACUUCUCGACUGUCUCAACCAUAGGCCCGGUGAAAUUGCAUUACGAGUAAAGAUGCUCGUUUCGCGCAGCAGGACGGAAAGACCCCGGGACCUUUACUACAGUUUGAUAUUGGUGUUCGGUUCGGCUUGUGUAGGAUAGGUGGGAGACUGUGAAGCAUGCACGCCAGUGUGUGUGGAGUCGUCGUUGAAAUACCACUCUGGUCGUGCUGGAUGUCUAACCUGGGUCCGUGAUCCGGAUCAGGGACAGUGUCUGAUGGGUAGUUUAACUGGGGCGGUUGCCUCCUAAAGAGUAACGGAGGCGCCCAAAGGUUCCCUCAGCCUGGUUGGUAAUCAGGUGUUGAGUGUAAGUGCACAAGGGAGCUUGACUGUGAGACCGACGGGUCGAGCAGGGACGAAAGUCGGGACUAGUGAUCCGGCGGUGGCUUGUGGAAGCGCCGUCGCUCAACGGAUAAAAGGUACCCCGGGGAUAACAGGCUGAUCUUCCCCAAGAGUCCAUAUC
rnacentral:rRNA from 1 species